rnacentral:tRNA from 1 species
GGUUGUGGCUCAGAGGUACAGCGCUUGCCUACCAUACGUGAGGCUCUGGGUUCAAUCCCCAGAAUCA